GAGAAAGUGAGGGACACAGAUAGAGCCACAUAAAGAACUGCAGAAAGGAUUCAUGGAAGGCAAAGGAGCCAGGAUGAGUGUGUUAGCUCUUACUUUAGGAAGAAAAAUCCAGUGAAGAGUUUUUAUCAUGGGGCCCAUGUCAUACUGUAGUAGAAAUUGGUCUGGCUCUGGCGAAGAGAGUCAAUCAGAAGAUCAGGCUGAAUAGAAUGACUUCAUAAAGUGGCGACAGUGGCAAUCUAGGUGAGGAAAGCUCUGGAUUAAGAUAGGAAAGGGACAAUGGAGCUGGAGUAGGUCUUACCACCCUGAUGUGAUGGAGUUAGUUACUUAGAAUUCUUUCACUGAGUCAUGGUCUCCAUGGAGCUUCAGAACCUAGUGCAUGCAGGGCACAUGUGUCCCGAUUCUGAAUUCAGGCUCAGAUUCAUUUAUUUUGACUGUAAAAUUCUCCUCAUCAGUGCUCACAAAGAGAUUCUUCUGGAGAAGAGCGAAGGACUGGACGCACUUGAACUCUGGAGAUC
rnacentral:lncRNA from 1 species